rnacentral:rRNA from 1 species
UCCUACGGGGCGCAGCAGUGAGGAAUAUUGGUCAAUGGGCGGAAGCCUGAACCAGCCAAGUCGCGUGAGGGAAUAAGGCCCUACGGGUCGUAAACCUCUUUUGCCGGGGAGCAAGGGCGGGGACGUGUCCCGGCCCGGAGAGUACCCGGAGAAAAAGCAUCGGCUAACUCCGUGCCAGCAGCCGCGGUAAUACGGAGGAUGCGAGCGUUAUCCGGAUUUAUUGGGUUUAAAGGGUGCGUAGGCGGGCUUUUAAGUCAGCGGUAAAAAUUCGGGGCUCAACCCCGUUCGGCCGUUGAAACUGGGGG